rnacentral:rRNA from 1 species
UACGGGAGGAUGCGAGCGUUAUCCGGAUUUAUUGGGUUUAAAGGGUGCGCAGGCGGUCUGUUAAGUCAGCGGUCAAAGCCCGGGGCUCAACCCCGGCCCGCCGUUGAAACUGGCAGUCUCGAGUUGGAGAGAAGUAUGCGGAAUGCGCGGUGUAGCGGUGAAAUGCAUAGAUAUCACACAGAACACCGAUUGCGAAGGCAUCUCACGAAUCCGCUAUUGACGCUGAUGCACGAAAGCGUGGGUAGUCAAACAG